rnacentral:rRNA from 1 species
GAUGAGCGCUGGCGGCGUGCCUAAUACAUGCAAGUCGAGCGAACAGACGAGGAGCUUGCUCCUCUGACGUUAGCGGCGGACGGGUGAGUAACACGUGGAUAACCUACCUAUAAGACUGGGAUAACUUCGGGAAACCGGAGCUAAUACCGGAUAAUAUAUUGAACCGCAUGGUUCAAUAGUGAAAGACGGUUUUGCUGUCACUUAUAGAUGGAUCCGCGCCGCAUUAGCUAGUUGGUAAGGUAACGGCUUACCAAGGCAACGAUGCGUAGCCGACCUGAGAGGGUGGAGCGGCACCAGGGAAAAGGAGACCGGGCCAGAACUCCACGGGGAGGAGGAAUGGGGAAUUCUCCCGAAAGGGGGAAAGUCUGGCCGGGGCAACGCCGGGGGAGUGAGAAGGGUUUUCGGAUCUAAAAACUUUUUUAUUGGGGAAAAAAAAUUGGGAAAGUAACUAUCCCCGUCUGGAGGGUACCUAAUAAAAAAGCCAGGGCAAACUCGGUC